UUACGUAGAACUAUGACGGCGCUGAACGAACAAACUUGAAAGUCAGCAAAAUCCGACAUCAAUUAAGUGUUCCAACACACUCUAGUGAGGACUUGAAGCAUAACCCUUAUUCUACACAGUUGCACAGCGGUGCACACUAGGGAGGACGAUGUAAAGGAGAAACAUAUACAGCCAUUACCCUUUAGCUUGAGGGAACUAAAUGGCGCCAAACGCAAGAACUGCGAAUAUCAAGAUGUUAAAUGAACUGAGAAUUCGAAGUUUCAUGGCUUCUAAAAUGCUAUACGAACAGUCAACCAGAUACAGUAACUAUGCUUUUUGGGCAGUGAUGGUAGCUAGUGGUCUUAUGGGUGUAGCUGCUGCUAACCUAUGUGAUUAUCUCCCCGUGGGUGAUGGUCAGAACAAAUGGGUUUCAGCAUCUAAAAUGCUCAUCGGAGUGGUCUCUGGAUUUGCAGUCUCCUUUCAAACUGGCAGAAUCUUUCUCAUUGAUUACUUUGAAAAAAAACAAAGAAUCUAUAACGAAACAGCAUCAAGUUGGCAAAAGCUGGAAUUGGACAUUGAGUUAUUUCUUAACUCUAUCGAGAUCACAACCACAGACAGAGAUAUCAGAGAGUUUACAAGUGAAUGUAUAAAACAACGGGAUGAUAUAUGCUCUAAGUCAAAACCAGAGGAAGACAUUUAUCAGAAAUACCAUAAUAACCCCGAUUUAGUGAUCAAGAAGUAUCAGAAAAAACACUCUGUCAUUGCGUACAUUCUACAAAAACUUGAUCGGGAGAAAGAAGCAGAAAGAGAAGAACAUCAAGAAGAACAUCAAGAAGAUGAAUCUGACCUAGUUUGUUGGGCUUGUCUUCCCUUUGGUGUAUAUUUGUGUAUUUUGUACAGGCCAAUCAAUUUUUUUCUGAAGCAUGUCAACGAAAGUCCAUGCAAGUACCACCGCGAACAUUUCAUUUAAGAAUGUAAACAGGAUGCCGUGGUUCUCUAUUCAAAUGACUGAGCUGGUUUUUGAAAAGACAAGACAAGACAAUUUAUUCAG
rnacentral:lncRNA from 1 species